GACGAACGCUGGCGGCGUGCUUAACACAUGCAAGUCGAACGGAAAGGCCCUGCUCGCAGGGUGCUCGAGUGGCGAACGGGUGAGUAACACGUGGGUGAUCUGCCCCUUACUUUGGGAUAAGCCUGGGAAACUGGGUCUAAUACUGGAUAGGACCAUGCUGUAGGUGGUGUGGUGGAAAGAUUAGUUUCGGUAAGGGAUGAGCUCGCGGCCUAUCAGCUUGUUGGUGGGGUAAUGGCCUACCAAGGCGUCGACGGGUAGCCGGCCUGAGAGGGUGGACGGCCACAUUGGGACUGAGAUACGGCCCAGACUCCUACGGGAGGCAGCAGUGGGGAAUAUUGCACAAUGGGCGCAAGCCUGAUGCAGCGACGCCGCGUGGGGGAUGACGGCCUUCGGGUUGUAAACUCCUUUCAGCCAUGACGAAGCCCUUGUGGUGACGGUAGUGGUAGAAGAAGCACCGGCUAACUACGUG
rnacentral:rRNA from 1 species